rnacentral:rRNA from 1 species
GACGAACGCUGGCGGCGUGCUUAACACAUGCAAGUCGAACGGAAAGGCCCUGGUUGCAGGGUACGCGAGAGUCGAACGGGGGAGUAACACGUGGGUGAUCUGCCCUGCACAUCGGGAUAAGCCUGGGAAACUGGGUCUAAUACCGGAUAUGAGCCAAUUUUAGUGUGAUGGUUGGAAAGAUUUGUCGGUGUAGGAUGAGAUCGCGGCCUAUCAGCUUGUUGGGGGGGUAAUGGCCUACCAAGGCGGCGACGGGUAGCCGGCCUGAGAGGGUGGACGGCCACAUUGGGACUGAGGUACGGCCCAGACUCCUACGGGAGGCAGCAGUGGGGAAUAUUGCACAAUGGGCGCAAGCCUGAUGCAGCGACGCCGCGUGGGGGAUGACGGCCUUCGGGUUGUAAACUCCUUUCGCUAGGGAAGAAGCUUUUUGUUACGGUACCUAGAUAAGAAGCACCGGCUAACUACGUG